rnacentral:rRNA from 1 species
AUUGAACGCUGGCGGCAUGCCUAACACAUGCAAGUCGAACGAGCGGCGGACGGGGGAGUAAUGUCUGGGAAACUGCCUGAUGGAGUGGUAUAACUACUGGAAACGGUAGCUAAUACCGCAAACACUCAGUUUUGCCCAGAUUGGAUUAGCUAGUAGGUGGGGUAAUGGCUCACCUAGGCGACGAUCCCUAGCUGGUCUGAGAGGAUGACCAGCCACACUGGAACGGAGACACGGUCCAGACUCCUACGGGAGGCAGCAGUGGGGAAUAUUGCACAAUGGGCGCAAGUCUGAUGCAGCCAUGCCGCGUGUGUGAAGAAGGUCUUCGGGUUGUAAAGCACUUUCAGCGAGGAGGCGUUACCCGCAGAAGAAGCACCGGCUAACUCCGUGCCAGCAGCCGCGGUAAUUC